rnacentral:rRNA from 1 species
CUCUGCCUACGGGGCGCAGCAGUGGGGGAUAUUGCACAAUGGGGGGAACCCUGAUGCAGCGACGCCGCGUGAGCGAAGAAGUAUUUCGGUACGUAAAGCUCUAUCAGCAGGGAAGAAAAUGACGGUACCUGACUAAGAAGCCCCGGCUAACUACGUGCCAGCAGCCGCGGUAAUACGUAGGGGGCAAGCGUUAUCCGGAUUUACUGGGUGUAAAGGGAGCGUAGACGGCAGCGCAAGUCUGGAGUGAAAUCCCAUGGUUUAACCAUGGAACUGCUUUGGAAACUGUGCAGCUGGAGUGCAGGAGA